GAUGAACGCUGGCGGCGUGCAUAACACAUUCAAGUCGAACGGAGUUAUUGGAAGGAAGUCUUCGGAUGGAAUGAAGAUAACUUAGUGGCGGACGGGUGAGUAACGCGUGAGCAACCUGCCUUGGCAUGGGGGAUAACGUUUGGAAACGAACGCUAAUACCGCAUAUCGCAUAGGGACCGCAUGAUUCUUAUGCAAAAAGAUUUAUGUGCUAAGAUGGGCUCGCGUCCCAUUAGAUAGUUGGUGGGGUAACGGCCUACCAAGUCGACGAUCAGUAGCCGGACUGAGAGGUUGAACGGCCACAUUGGGACUGAGACACGGCCCAGACUCCUACGGGAGGCAGCAGUGGGGGAUAUUGGACAAUGGGGGCAACCCUUAUCCAGCGACGCCGCGUGAGGGGAAGAAGGUUUUCGGAUUGUAAACCUCUGUCAGUGGGGACGAUAAUGACGGUACCACGGAGGAAGCCACGGCUAACUACGUG
rnacentral:rRNA from 1 species